UCUCCGUCGCCCUCUCCAUGGGUUAGCCUCUCUUUUGUUUCGCUUGAAGGAAUCGAUCGCAAUUCGCACUCAAAGAGACAACACCGCUCUGUCGCUCCCUCCAUCAGGUUUGCUCUUUACGCCACGAAGCCAGAGCCAACUAGCUUCUCCAUCCCCCUCUCCAUGGGUUAGCCUCUCUAUCGUUUCACUCAAAGGAAUUGAUCACGAACGGGAGGGAUUCCUCCAUAAAUCGACUGAGUCGUGGACUCCAAAGUACUUGAUCUCUUCCUAUACAGGCUCGUGCUUGGUCACUCGGUGGAGAGAGUGGCGGAAACUGCGAUCAACCCUUGUGAUAACCAGGUUGAUCGUCAUUUUGCUAGCAAGUUUUGCUCGUAAAAAAUUGGAGUAUUACUAGGUUGAAUCAGAAGCAAUGAAUGAAAGUGACAGUGAUAAUAUUUCAUUGGAUUGGAGUGAUAGAGAACCAAAUAUAUCAUAUGAUGAAGAGUCGAUGACAAGUGAGAUGAUGAAAGAAUUCGAAGAAGCAAGAAUGGAGGAGGAGGAGGAGGAGGUAGAUGAUGGUCGAGCUUUAGUUGUAGGUUCCACCAAUAUACAAAGAGAGGAGGCUAAUGAUGAUCGAGAUUUAGUUUUAUGUAAAGACGGGGUAGCAGAUGAAGAUGCGGAUUCUGAAAAUGAAUCUCUAAGUGGACCUGAUAUCGAUGAUUUUGAAGAAACCCAUGGCAUAUCACGCCUAGUGGUUAAUAGGUAUGAUCCUAUGUGUGACCAUAAUGAGGAAGUGUUUAGCCUAGGUAUGAGAUUUGAAUCUCAUGAACAGUUCAAGAAUGCUGUGAGAAGGUAUGCCGUAAUUAAUGGAUUUGAUAUUUUUUGGCAAAAGAGUGAAUAUAAAAGAAUGGAAGCGAGGUGUGUAAGAGGAUGCGGUUGGAGAUUGUACGG